AUGCUCUGGUUUUUUGUUCAGAUUGUAUAAAUCUUUCGCUUUUUACCUAAAGAUUUCCAUGGAGAAGAACAAUAUGGACUGUAGCAGUUCCAGAAAAGAGAUCUUCAGCACUU